rnacentral:rRNA from 1 species
UACGUAGGGUGCGAGCGUUAAUCGGAAUUACUGGGCGUAAAGCGUGCGCAGGCGGUUUUGUAAGCCAGAUGUGAAAUCCCCGGGCUUAACCUGGGAAUGGCAUUUGGGACUGCAAGGCUGGAGUGCGGCAGAGGAGACUGGAAUUCCUGGUGUAGCAGUGAAAUGCGUAGAUAUCAGGAGGAACACCGAUGGCGAAGGCAGGUCUCUGGGCUGACACUGACGCUCAUGCACGAAAGCGUGGGGAGCGAAACAAACGG